rnacentral:tRNA from 1 species
GGAGAGGUGGCUGAGUGGUCGAAAGCGACGGUUUGCUAAACCGUUGAGGGUGUACGCCCUCCGCAGGUUCGAAUCCUGUCUUCUCCG